AUGGACAAAGAGUGUACUAAAUUUCCAAGGUUUAGUCAAGAGUACAUCAACGGUGUUACUCAAUUUUUAGACUUUUCCUACACUAAUGGAAGACCUCAAGGAGAUGAGAUUUUAUGCCCUUGUGCCAAGUGUAAAAAUUUGUAUUGGAAAACAAGAGAUUAUAUUAAGGAUCACUUAAUAGCCAAAGUUUUUCUAAAAGGUUAUGACGUAUGGUUGCACCAUGGGGAAUAA